CCGAGGCCCAGGGAGAGGUAGUGACUGGCAGCCAGGGUGGGGGUCGGGGAAGGCGGAGGUGGAGGCAGAGCUCAGUGGUGUGUAGUAGGCAGUGGGGCUCUUCGCACGGCCUCAGGCUUAAGAAAGUGAACCGCAGCAUGAACAAUGGUUUCCCGAGGAAGUUUUGGUUUUUCACUGUGUGGAGGAGAAAGGCUGUUUUGGGAACUGCAUGCCCGUGAGGUCUGUGGAGUCCGGCUUGGCACAGCUAUUUCCGACUAAGCCCUAGGAUCCUAUUUAUAGGCCAGUGUGAAUAAGUUGGCUCUGUCAGAAGGCCAGCUUCCCUCUGCCCAGCCCCGCCAUGACUGAGGAGGAAACCCUCAGGGACAAUUGUGACCCAUGGGUAAGUAGCAAGUGAUCUGAAGUGCUCAGAGGAGGGGCUCCUGGGAGCCUGCGGGGAGCCACACUUUUGAUUUCUGGUUCAGCCACCAGCAAGGAUGAAACCUGUUCCCAUCCUGUUCUCCUUCUGCUUUCAAAGUCCCCAGCGUCUCACACCUGGCUGGCCGGGUCCCCUGGUGGUGCAUCCUUCAAGGCUCUACUUCAGUGUUUCCUUUUCGUGGCUCCAUCUGGUGUGGGUUCCCUUCUUUGUGCUCCUGCUGCUCACAGCCACUUGAGUGGCUCCCUGUCUUCCCGUGUGUGCUCCCCAGGGGGCCUGGGAGUCCUGAGAUGAGGCCUGACACUGAGGAAGAAAGAAAGGAGAAACACCUUUGUGACCGAGCACCUGUCAUGGCUGCUCACCUUGUGUGUCUGAUGGCACCUGAUCUGCAUGCCCUUCCGUACGAGGCACUUUUUACAGGUGUGCAGGAGAAAGAGUCAGGCUCAGAGUCAAAUGUUCCUGGAUGCAAGCUGUGCUCUGCACUUUUUUGUUGCCUUUGGCUGAACUUCUUUGAGCCUCAGUUUUCCUAUCUAUAAAACGGGAUGAUGUCACCAUGGGUUUGGGGGAGGGUUCAGCCUGACAAUGCAUAUGAAUUAUUAUGGAGGCGUCUGGUCCAUAAUGAACUUCUGUGUGAGGUAAGAGAUCUUAUUUCCAGGUGGGGAAAAAAGGCUCUAAGUUGGGGAGCUCCUUAUCUAGGGCCCCACAUGGGUUAGUGGCCAAGAGGAGAGAUCAUGUCUGGGAAGUCUGGGCCUCCUACUCCACCCUGUGUUCUCUCUCCCCGCCUUUCUUGGCCCCUUGGGCCUAUUAUGUUCCCCAGAUCAGGGAAGCUUUGUUUGGGAUUGUUUUUCCUAAGAACUUUCCUCUGUGGUGCCACAAGAUGACUCAGAGCCCUGAGUCACAG
rnacentral:lncRNA from 1 species